rnacentral:piRNA from 2 species
CAUAUGGUAAAUUGGAACUGGGAC